UACGUAGGGUCCAAGCGUUACUCGGAAUUACUGGGCGUAAAGCGUGCGUAGGUGGUGAGUUAAGUCUGUCGUGAAAGCCCCGGGCUCAACCUGGGAAUGGCGAUGGAUACUGGCUCGCUAGAGUGCGGUAGAGGAGAGUGGAAUUCCCGGUGUAGCAGUGAAAUGCGUAGAGAUCGGGAGGAACAUCAGUUGCGAAGGCGGCUCUCUGGACCACAACUGACGCUGAGGCGCGAAAGCUAGGGGAGCAAACAGG
rnacentral:rRNA from 1 species